rnacentral:rRNA from 1 species
GACGAACGCUGGCGGCGUGCUUAACACAUGCAAGUCGAACGAAGUGGCGAACGGGUGAGUAAUACGUGGGUAACCUGCCCUCCUUUUUGGGAUAAGCCUUGGAAACGGGGUCUAAUACCGAAUAAAGGGGGAAGGGCGCGCGGCCUAUCAGCUUGUUGGUGGGGGGAUGGCCUACCAAGGCGGUGACGGGUAGCCGGCCUGAGAGGGUGACCGGCCACAUGGGGACGGAGAUACGGCCCAGACUCCUACGGGAGGCAGCAGUGGGGUGUAUUGCACAAUGGGCGCAAGCCUGAUCCAGCCAUGCCGCGUGUCUGAAGAAGGCCUUCGGGUUGUAAAGGACUUUUGUUAGGAAAACGGUACCUAAAGAAUAAGCACCGGCUAACUACGUGCCAGCAGCCGCGGUAAUUC